GGCUCAAUGGUCUAGAGGUAUGAUUCGCCCUUCGGGUUCCACAACCCUUAAGCCUAGCUUGAUUGGGCGAGGCCCCGGGUUCGAAUCCCGGUUGAGCCC
rnacentral:tRNA from 1 species